rnacentral:rRNA from 1 species
AGGGAAUAUUGGACAAUGGGCGCAAGCCUGAUCCAGCAAUGCCGCGUGUGUGAAGAAGGUCUUCGGAUUGUAAAGCACUUUCGACGGGGACGAUGAUGACGGUACCCGUAGAAGAAGCCCCGGCUAACUUCGUGCCAGCAGCCGCGGUAAUACGAAGGGGGCUAGCGUUGCUCGGAAUGACUGGGCGUAAAGGGCGCGUAGGCGGCUUGUACAGUCAGAUGUGAAAUUCCUGGGCUUAACCUGGGGGCUGCAUUUGAUACGUGCGGGCUAGAGUGUGAAAGAGGGUCGUGGAAUUCCCAGUGUAGAGGUGAAAUUCGUAGAUAUUGGGAAGAACACCGGUGGCGAAGGCGGCGACCUGGUUCAUGACUGACGCUGAGGCGCGAAAGCGUGGGGAGCAAAC